rnacentral:rRNA from 1 species
CCGCCGGCGACCGGCGCACGGGUGAGUAACACGUAUGCAACCUGGCCGUGACAGAUGGAUAACCGGGAGAAAUCCCGCCUAAUACAACAUAAUGCCGGGAGGGGACAUCCCCUGCCGGCCAAAGGGGCGACCCGGUCACGGAUGGGCAUGCGGCGCAUUAGGUAGUUGGUGGGGCAACGGCCCACCAAGCCGACGAUGCGUAGGGGUUCUGAGAGGAAGGUCCCCCACAUUGGAACUGAGACACGGUCCAAACUCCUACGGAAGGCAGCAG